ACACUCCUCCUGGUUUUAUCCGGAGACACUGGAGUGAAUUUAUUUAUAUAUUCAUGAAACUAAUGAAUGUUUUAUAGUGAUUAAAGGAGAGACAGGUGAGCAGAAACAUCACUGCAGCUGACUUUUUAAACUUUAUCAGAUAAUCCUGCUGUUGACCUUCUGAAGGGUUCAAAUAUAUUUAUUCUAACUGGAAGAAAAAGACACUUGUAAGUAUUUUUGUUUGUAAUAAAAAUCAAAUUCUUAAUUUUUUUCUCUAACUUUUUAAACUCUGCUCCUUUAAACGGAUAUUCUGUCGUAAAUUAAUUUAGGGUCAAACAGAGUUAGACCCCCCCUCCAGAGAUGAAUGUUGUCGACCGCUUGCUUCUCUAAUUAUACCAACUUUAGUAACGACCGCAGGAUAGAAAUACAGAGAGACACGCCCCCAACCAAAACGCCACUCUAUAGCCACAAAUAAUGCUCAGAACAGCACCUAACUUCAUCAACAGGACAUAUAGGGUCACAGACAUAGGACUAGACACCAAACAUCUUUUUAACUUUGACUCAUUUCUUUAGCAAAGAGACUAAACACAACUCACCUACUCUCUUCCAGCAGACGCUUGUUUGUAGUGAGACCUCAGGCCAGUCCAUUACGGACUACAGCGGGGUGCCGCAGCUCAAGGAAGAACAUUUAUGAUCAUUUCUUCAUGGAAAUACAAUCAGACCGAGACGCUAAGACAGAAGAACUACCGCGUCUGUAAAAUGAUUAAUAUGGUGAUUAUUACUUCAAGGAAAUGAUAAAGAAAUGAUCAUAAAUGUUCUUCCUUGAGCUGCGGCACCCCGCUGUAGUCUGUAAUGGACUGGUCUGAGGUCUCUCUACAAACAAGCGUCUGCUGGAAGAGAGUAGGUG